UUGCCCUGGUGUCCGAUGGUUCAAGCAGACCGUAUCGCUGCAAGAUUAAAGCACCUGGAUUCGCCCACUUGGCGGGGUUGGACAUGAUGGCGAAAGGACACAUGUUGGCUGACGUGGUUGCCAUUAUUGGCACUCAGGACAUUGUAUUUGGAGAAGUGGACCGUUAAUUUCCUCACCUGCUCUGCAGUUCUGGAGAGGCAUUACUACAACUACAACUACUCCGUCGGUUGGUCUCUGUCUCUCUUACAGAUUUAGUGCUGUCCAGACACACAUCCUCGUUCUCCUACUCCUUCAUUUGUGUAUAUCCUAAUAAAUAUUUAAAAU